UACGGAGGGGGCUAGCGUUGUUCGGAAUUACUGGGCGUAAAGCGCACGUAGGCGGCUUCGCAAGUCAGAGGUGAAAGCCCGGAGCUUAACUCCGGAAUUGCCUUUGAGACUGCGUCGCUAGAAUCCGGGAGAGGUGAGUGGAAUUCCGAGUGUAGAGGUGAAAUUCGUAGAUAUUCGGAAGAACACCAGUGGCGAAGGCGGCUCACUGGACCGGUAUUGACGCUGAGGUG
rnacentral:rRNA from 1 species